CCUACGGGAGGCAGCAGUAGGGAAUUUUUCGCAAUGGGCGAAAGCCUGACGCAGCAACGCCGCGUGAUCGAGACGCCCUUCGGGGUGUAAAGAUCUGUCAGUGGGGACGAAACUUAACGGUACCCACAGAGGAAGCACCGGCUAACUCCGUGCCAGCAGCCGCGGUAAUACGGGGGGUGCAAGUGUGGUCCGGCUUUAUUGGGUUUAAAGGGUGCGCAGGCGGCCUGUUAAGUCAGCGGUAAAAGCCCGGGGCUCAACCCCGGCGAGCCGUUGACACUGGCGGGCUGGAGUUGGAGAGAAGUACGCGGAAGGCGCGGUGUAGCGGUGAAAUGCUUAGAUAUCGCGCAGAACCCCGAUUGCGAAGGCAGCGUACCGGCUCCACACUGACGCUGAGGCACGAAAGCGUGGGUAUCGAACAGGAUUAGAUACCCUAGUAGUC
rnacentral:rRNA from 1 species